CCUACGGGAGGCAGCAGUGGGGAAUAUUGGUCAAUGGAGGAAACUCUGACCCAGCAACGCCGCGUGAAUGAUGAAGGUCUUCGGAUUGUAAAGUUCUUUUUUAAGGGAAGAAGAUAGUGACGGUACCUUAGGAAUAAGCCUCGGCUAACUACGUGCCAGCAGCCGUGGGAAUACGUGGGAGGCGAGCGUUAUCCGGAAUGAAUGGGCGUAAAGGGUGCGUAGGGGGUAUGGCAAGUUAGUAGCGUAACUCCAAGGCACAACCUUGGAACUACUACUAAAACUGUUGGACUUGAGUGCAGGAGGGGCAACCGGAAUUCGUAGUGUAGCGGUGAAAUGCAUAGAUAUUAGGCGGAACACCGGUUGCGAAGGCGGGUUGCUAGCCUGUAACUGACGCUGAGGCACGAAAGCGUGGGGAGCAAACAGGAUUAGAUACCCCAGUAGUC
rnacentral:rRNA from 1 species